AGGAGAGGCUGAUUAACAGCAGGUGUGACUAUCACAGUCACUCUCUGGAAAUCCUUUGUAUGUGCACAUGGCUGUGACUGGUGACUCUCUGUUCUGUGGACUGAAACACUGACUGUCUUAAAGUGCAGAGGUUUUUGGCCUCCAGGAUCACCACUGUCAGUUUGCUGGCGGUGGGAACAUAACGCAGGGAGAAGCAGAUCUCGCCCAGGCUCUGCGAGAUCCUGCCACUCCUCGAUGACGUGGUUCCAGUCAACGUUGCAGAGCUGCACCCUGAGCUCACCGAUGAUGUCGUGUUUGGUAAAUCUGUUGAAGUCAAAAACCUUCAUCACUACCGUCGACUUCAGGAGGGAAGACUUGGAUAUCUGGGGAACAGAUGACCAAGCAAACAAACCCGGUUUCGCUUUAAACUGAAAUCAAACAAGGCAGAGACUUAGGAGACUUAUCACAACAACUCAUACCUGGAACUUAAAAUGUUCGUUGAAGGCUGGGUUCAGCGUGCUUCUGAAUACUUUGGUCUCAACGGUUUUAGAUUUGUCUGGGAGGAGGUAGACUUUAACAUACGGGUCCGAAGUUCCUCCCAGGUCCAUGGCCUUUAGGCUGUCAGCUUGUUUGAUCCCAACUGUGAGCUGUAAGCACAGACAGUACAGUUACAAACAGGAACUAAUGUCAAUAGUCUGUAGAGGGAGCUGUGUGAAGUCUGAUGUAACAAGAUUUUGCAACUUUUCAGACACAUUUAAAAAACUUUAAUCAUUUUUUCUUUUUUUUCUUUUAGCAACUUCUGAAAAGCGUCUCAAACACAAAAAUGCACAUAUUUGCCCUGUAAAUGAGAUAAAAACGAUUUUUUUCUGUCACACAGUAGUUUUUCCAUCAAUAAAUUUCUCUGCGCAUUUUCAAGAUUUGCUGAAGAAAAAAAGC